GGACGGCGAAGACAAUUGGAGAUUUCGCAUCAGAAGGAAGCAGAAUCACGCCAUCAUAACAAGUCAUGUUCAAGAUCCAACAUAUUAGCUAAACCGGGAUAGAAGACUUACCUUGGUGUUGAAGUCUUUGCUUGAUUUUCUUCCGGUGACGAUCUCCUUUUCCUCCCUCCGUGCAGGUCCACUGAAAUUGUGCUCUCAAGGGUCUCCGAUUCUUGAUUCAGUGAGAAGUGUUCCCUUCUUUUGCUUCGUAGUGCCCUUUUCUUAGGUCCCAAUCCCCUUUUGCGUGACUGCCUGUGCUUUUUUGCGUGACUGCUUUGCUCCCCCUCCCAUACCUUAUUUACAGAACCUACCUCUCCCAGUCAAAGCUUCUUUUUUUUUUUGUCAUUUUUUUCAUUGUUUUUUUUAUAUAAUAAAGACAAAAUGGAACAUUUCAAACUUUUUCUUUUUCCUAUUUAUAUUAAUUAUGUUUAACUAAUAUUAUGUUUAACUAUGCUAAUUAUAUUAGAACACCACUCAAAAGAAAAACUAAAAACAAAGAUUAAAAAUAAAAAUAAAAAUAAAAAUAAAGAGAUAAAAAAUGAAAUAAAAUAAAGCUAAAAUAAUAGAAAUAAAAUAAAAAUAACAAUAAAGAUAAAAAUGGAAAUUGAGAAAAAACCUAUGAUAACACAAUAGAAUAAAGCAAAAUGGAAAACUUUGACAGUCAAAAUUACUUAGAACGAAUUGCAAUUUCAGCUUCAUCUAUCACAAACGUUAGAAGUAGUUUCAUUUUAGGUUGGAAAUUUGAACUCUUAUUAUUAUCUAAUUGGGUGAUUUUUGGUUGCAGGGAAAGGACAUGCUUAAAAGAUGUUUUUGCCGAAUUUCAUGAGCAGAAAAAGCUUUCAGAAAUGUAAUGUAAUAGCUUUUGAAGUGAAAACUUGACCAGCCCAAAAAGGUUAUUGAGUAUGUGAAUUAUCCAAUGUUUCUUUUUAAUAUUGUUUCAGGCUUUCGUUCCAUCUCUUCAUAUACAAUAAUUUUGUUAUUAAUCUGAUCUCUUUUUAACUGUUGUUUCUAAAUGAACUCAUUGGUGAGAGUGGUCACCUUUAUUAUUCAAAUAAAAGAACAUUCAAAAUGGAAGGUUAAAAAAGUGUUAUAUAUAAAAUCAGUGAUUAUCUUUCAUCUGCUCAGCUCUUGGUAAGGCUGGUCCAUGAUGUCGCAACCGAAAUCGUG
rnacentral:lncRNA from 1 species